UUCUCCAAAAGAAAGCACUUUCUGUUGUCUGAAAGCAGAGUGCCUUCUUUUGGAGCGUU
rnacentral:pre_miRNA from 1 species